rnacentral:rRNA from 1 species
CCUACGGGAGGCAGCAGUGGGGAAUAUUGCGCAAUGGGCGAAAGCCUGACGCAGCGACGCCGCGUGAGGGAUGAAGGUCUUCGGAUCGUAAACCUCUGUCAGCAGGGAAGAACGGUCACUGUGCUAAUCAGCAGUGAAUUGACGGUACCUGCAAAGGAAGCACCGGCUAACUCCGUGCCAGCAGCCGCGGUAAUACGGAGGGUGCGAGCGUUAAUCGGAAUUACUGGGCGUAAAGCGCUCGUAGGCGGUAUGUCGAGUCAAGGGUGAAAUCCCCGCGCUCAACGUGGGAACUGCCGUUGAAACUGGGGAACUGGGGUGUGUGGGAGGAUAGUGGGAGGCGAGGGGUAGGAGUG